ensembl:lincRNA Gm13575 predicted gene 13575
GAAACCUACUCCCUCCAACUGUAUUAUGUACUCUGCAGUGAUAAGGCCAUUACAUUAUGCGGUACCUUUAGUGUUUGUUGCCUGGAAAAAUCCAAAUCCAUCCAAAGUGCUACGCAGACUUGGGCUUUCUUGAAGUACAAAGAUUGAGACCAAGCUGGAAAGCAAGAAGUGCUUGCAGAAAACUGCUUUUGCUGGCUAUUUCUUUUCCCUAGCCUGAGCACAUGGAAGGAUUAUUCCCUAGGGAAUGGGAGAGCAGUUUCUUUGAAGAACCGAAGUAUCCUGCCCAACUUUGAACACUAGAGGACUUUUGCCCUGCCAAUGCUUUAAUUUCUGAGGGACUAGUGAGAUAGAUCCUGCCUAAAGGACCUGACACUAGGAGAAAUGGGCAGAAGCUUGAUUUUAGGUGUGGUUCUUCAGAGGCAAAAAGGAAACGUUAGGUAGAGAGAUUCUGUGCCUCCAGAAGAGACUUUGCAAAAACUCAAAGCUGGAAGCUGCUUGCUGAGGGCAUUCCUUAAAGCCAAGUCUUUUAGUGCAGAUUGACUAGGGCAAGCGUCACAAUAUCUAUAGCAGCAUGCAAUGUGACCUGAGAAAGAGAACCCCGGCACUGUAACCUCUUAGAGGAAUGUAACCUUGCUCAGAUUCUCUCUUACUCUCAAUUAACUGUCAAGCAUAAUUAAGUGUAAAGGUCUAUUGCUAGGAAGAACAAGGCCACUCCUGUCUCACUCCCUCUCAACAUCACUGAUGGAAGCAAUAAAAGGCAAACCAGCAGGAGCUGAAGCCCUGCCUUAAGGUGUCUGGCAAUUCAGAAAACAUUACAGUGUUAUCAAUGGACAAUAUACAUGCGACUGAGUGAGUGUCUACUCCUGGACAGAGGUGAAUGUUGAUUUUGUUUUGUUUUGUUUUGUUCUUAAAUUCAGAAUUAUUUAGGGAAGGUAACGUGUGACAGAAAAUGGGACAUCCUGAAGCCGGCAGAUAUAGAUUGAGCAACAAAGAUUUGAGCAUCAUGGAUAGGCGACUUUGCGAUAUUUGUGCCUAAGUACAUAUUAAUUGUGUACUUGCAACUUUACCUUUUGUACUUCAUUAUAAAUUAUGGAAGUGCAAAGGUAUAUUUUAUUCGUGUCUGCAUACUAUUUAUGAACUUAUCAAUUGAGUGAAAGAACUUAGUUUAUACACUUUUAUUAGGAGUCUCAAACUUCUAUAAUUUAUUAUUGUAUAUAGAAUAUACAUUCUCUUUUACUUUCCACAGAAACAGGGUUGGUUAUUUGAAAGAGAGCUUAUUUUCUAAUGUGCAUAUAUUUUUACCAUAAGUUAUCCAUAUGUGAGUGAGACUUACUGUAUUGUAAAUCAUUUGAGUGUAUACCCUGGUUCCAUGUACAGAAGGAUGUUACAUACCUGUGUAGCAUGUUUGUUAAGAGGAAGAAUAUAAUACAGAUACUAGUGUAAACACAUGUCUUAGAAUAGACUCAUGAAAUAAGAAUGUUUUUAAUGCCUUGGUCAAAUUUAACAAAAAUAAAUAUUAAAAUGUUGAAAG